rnacentral:lncRNA from 9 species
UUUACUUGUAGGAAGAGAGUAUUUUAUUGAUUCAUCUAUUUUUUCCCCUGCUUUUUAAAAUUUUUUAUUAAAGUAUAAUUGAUUUACAGUGUUGUAUCAAUUUCUACUGUACAGUGAUGCAGUUCAUACACAUGUGUAUGUAUGUGUAUAUGUAUACAUAUAUACACAUUCUUUUUCUCAUACUAGCUUCCAUCAUAUUCUGUCCCAAGAAAUUGGAUACCAUUUCUUGUGCUGUACAGUAGGACCUCAUUGCUUAUCCAUUCUAAAUGCAAUAGUUUGCGUCUACUAAACCCAAACUUCUGGUCCAUCCCACUUCCUCCCCCCUCCCCCUUGGCAAUCACAAGUCUGUUCUAUGCGUCUUUGAGUCUGUUCAAUGGACUAAGAACUUGCGGUAUGUAUUUACAAUGGACUACUACUCAGCCAUAAAGGAACAAAAUAAUGCCAUUUGCAGCAACACAGAUGCAACCAGAGAUUUUCAAACCAAGUGAAGAAAGAAAGAGAAAGAAAUAUCGUAUGCUAUCACUUAGAUGUGGCAUCUAAACUAUGACCCAUCUGUUCUUUAAUAGAAAGAGCAUAUUGGGUUUAUGAGUUUCACGUCCUUACUUCAUCAGGACAAGUGUGAUUGCAGAUUUUUUUUUGCAAAUUCGGCGUCUCAGGGUCAGAACCUUUAUGACAAGAAAAAGCUUUCUUCAUCUGUAGGAACUGGUACAGCUCUCUCUAGGACGUUUCCAUCUGGAUAAGCCCUGAUGAUUCUGUUGAUGGUGGUAAAUCAGGACCAUUUUAUCAACUGAAAAUGCGAGAAGUCUUUUGAAAGAAGUUUUAUCUAAGUCCCACAAUGCUGUUCCCCCCAAGACCCUCGGAUCUUACAGUCAGCUUCUGUUCUUCCAUGUAACAGAGCCAGCAGCCAGUAAGUACAAACAGAGGAUGAUCUCAAACUAGUCGUAUUUCAUGUUUGACCAAAGAUGUGUCUCAGUUUGCUGUUUGUCAUGUUGCCUGAGUUUGGCUGUGCUGCUUCUUUGCUUUGAUCAGAUUGUUAAUAAUAUUAAAUCAUGGUCCUUGCUUAUAUACCAGUUGAAAAUAAGUGAAUAAAAG